CUUUUUCCCACUGAGUAGUACUUCAUUGUACAAAUGUACUAUGUUUUUUCUAUCCAUUCUUCAAAGGUGAAAAAAACAUAUUUAACAAAAUUAUAGAAGAAAAUUAUCCCAACCUAAAGAAGGGCAUGCCUAUGAAAGUACAAGAAGUUUACCAAACACCAAAUAGACUGGACCAAAAAAAACACUCCACUGACUUCUCCAUGGUUUUGUAAGCAGUAAGGAUGGAAGAGAAUAAUCUCACUCUGAUCUGCAUGGAAGACUACUAGCCAGCUGCCAAACCAGUCCAACUAUCUGGAGGAGGCACAGACCAGCAGAG
rnacentral:lncRNA from 1 species